rnacentral:lncRNA from 1 species
UCCCUCCCUCAGGGAGGGGUUCUGUAUUUGUGCGACCCCUCCUCCAUAGGUCGUUGCAUGGGGGGAGGUGAGGUUUUCGGCAAAAAUACAACUACAUCUGUCUCUCCUCCCUGUCUGUUUAAUUCUUCGUUGUGGAGUAGCUGUCCUGCUCAGAGAUAAUUGUUUUAUAUGUAGCUGUAGAUAUAUUGUGUCUGUUGAGGGAAAGGAUUUCAGAAGUUUUUAUGUGACUAUCUUGAAUGAUCUCCCUGUUUGCCUCUGUUCUUUUUUUUUUUUUUUUAGAUUUUAUUUAUUUAGUCGUGAGAGAGGCAGACACACAGGCAGAGGGAGAAGCAGGCUCCAAGCAGGGAGCCCAACAAGGGACUUGAUCCCAGGACCUCGACCCAGGCCACCUGCGUCUUCUUGAAUGGCAUUUUUAGUAAGCAAAGAAUGCUAGUAGUGCUAAGUUGCCAGUGGAAACUGCCCAUGGGCCACAUGAGAGACCACGGAUCCUGUAAUGCUGGGAGGCAUAAAGCUGGCACAGAAGUGCUGCAGAGAGGCUGUCACCAGUUAGAGGGAAGGAGCCAGAGAAGCAAGAGGUGUGGCAACAGCCAAGGGUCUUCAAAGGUAGAUGGACGGUGCACUCCCUUCCUGAAUGGGAGACCAGCACAGAGACCUUGGGGGCACGCCUCGCCCAGGCUCCAGCCGGAGGCUCCGCCCCAGGCCAUGGCCUUCCACUUGCUCACGUGACCACGCCACAGGCAUGCAGAGAGGCAGGCUGAGCUCUGCCAGGCCAGCAGGGUCCGUGCCAGGCCUGGUGGACUUCGAGGACAAGGAGCAGGUGAAGGCCUUUCUGGAGAACGUGGUGGAGUGCAAGUACCAGUGCUACUGUGAGAAGGACCCGAAUGGUCUGUAUGAGCUGUUGGCUAUUCUGCCAGUCCAGCUGGGGCCACUUGUGGACAGCCAGGAAGACCUGACCUUCCUCUGGGAUAUGUUUGGUGAGAAAAGCCUGCAUUCACUGGUAAAGGUAAAAACCAUACUGAUGUCAGAUUCUCUUGGUGGGAAAACAUGGAAAAACAUUUUGAGUGCUGUCUCAUAAACCAGAGAUCAAAUUGUUGCCUUCUGCAAGGCAGAACAAAUCAGCCUUGUUCCGUGAUGAGCAUGGAAGUUGUUAAAGAUUUUACCAAAAAUACCUAGAUGAUUUCCCUUAAUGGUGGUGAUCUGGCUGUGUGCACUAAUGAAGCCAACGUAUGCCUGCCCUUGUUUAGAAGAAGAAUAUGAAAUAAUAGCAGGAAGGUAUAGGCUCCUUAUGGACAACAUUCAUGAGCUGGAAUUUAGCUUGAGUAAUGAAUGGUCACAACAAAAAUUAGAAGGAAUAUAUUUUCUGAGGUUAAGGAUGGCAGCAGUUCAUAGCCACAUUAAUUUAAAAUAAUUACCUUUCCAC